rnacentral:lncRNA from 1 species
UUGGAAUUUGUCUUUUGUCUGUUGUAAGAUACCCAAGCGUAUUUAUGCCAGUCUACACAGUAUGUUCUGUUCCCUUAGCUGCUCCAGUGUAAAGCGUCUGUUGCUUUUAAAUCUGGUGACUUUCAGAACACUUUAACAGAAUAUAUUUUCUUGAAAAUAAAGAGAAAGUCAACAGUGUCUUGUAUUAACUCGAUGUCACUGGAGAAGCUGCCUGAGGACCAAGUAUCAUCAGCUGUCCCCAUUCAGUGCAAAUUAAGGGAGAUAACUCAUCCCUGGGACCUUGAGAGAGUUUCAACUUUUUGUUUACAUUUAUGGCGCAUGUUUUUCACAUGCAAAAUAAUAAAUUGGGGAGUGACCUCUAGUCUUACAGUAAUCUUGUGAACUACCCACCUAUACUAGUCUGACUACACUCUGUUGAGCCUUGAGCAUGCUGAUGAGCCUUAAUUGCCCAGAGUAGGCCCGCCUGGGACUACCACCCCACUCACACCCUGCCCAUGGGACCAGGGGUGUACUUACAGCUCAGGCCUGAGCAUCCCUUCUUUCCCGUUGAGCUACAUUGUUAGUGUCUUCAACCCUUAUCUCUACCUCUGUCUCCUGUUGCUCCUGCCUGGACCUGGCUAAUCCCCUGCUAUGGCCGUGUAGGGAGGGACCUGGCUCUGCUUGUUGCGUUCAGGUACGCUGGGGGUGAGGGCAUGGCUGGUGCUGGGGCGGCCCUUGGCUCCCACUUGCACAGUGCGGCUGUCUGGUGCUAUGACCUUGCAGCUUUGUAUCUUAUGUCAUAGUGGGGUAGAGCAAAAGUUUGAGAAAGAGCAUAGGAGUGGAGUAACCAGAAGGAUCUUAUGCUCUAGAAAGGUGUUUGCCCACCUGGUGAGCACACGUGGUACUGGCCCUUCAUUAGGACUUUGUACAGAACGAGCUCAAGACAAAGGACCUUUCUUCUUUUCCGGAUGUUGUAUCCAUUGGGAUUCACCUGAUGCAAUGCUCUGUCAUUAACUCAUCAAAGGGCUGGCUCCUCGGAGCCUCACCAGGAGAAAGCCAGGAGACUAAAACACUGGAAGUCAUCUCUGCGUUUGAAAAGAGAGCAGCAGUCCAAUGGAUUAUGUGACAUGGCAGAUCUUGAAAGCAUAGCACAUAGAGGAAGGGAAGGAUUGUCAUAAAUACAAGGGUAUUUGGCUGUUAUUUUUAGAGUUGUUUGACUGACAGAUAACCAUGCAGCAAUGAUGUGUGUGGGGAGAGCUAGUGAAAUAGUGCUGGAGAUGGUUAUAGUCUGAUGUAACUCCUGCAUGAUGACAAUUCCCUGGCUCAUAGUGAGGCUUUAUCCCUGACAUGCAAUGUUCUACAUGUCAGCUUUCUUUUGUUUUCCAUGGCUUGUUUCUCUUUGCUUUCCACACCAAACAACACUGAACAAAUGAAAAGGAUCCUUUUAUGAGAUGAUUAAUGUCAUUUGUAUUUUUACAUAUUCCACUGUGGAUAUAGGAGAAAUGUACUGUACAGUUGGGCCUGUGGUUGGUGAAAUGGGUACCCACAAAUAGAAGGAAACAGAAUUUAAAACAAAGUCCCCAUUCCUUUCCUCUGGAAGAAUGUAACAGCCUCCCAGCAUGGGACCUCUCUGCGGUGGGUGGGUCACUGGUGUAGAAACCAACUCUUUUUCUACCCCUGUUCUCCAGAUCAAGAGUGACACACUUAGAAAAGGCAAAACAAGCCCAAAGGAAGAAUUCAAAAAGGAAAUGCAUCUUUCUAUGCAGACUCUGUUGAUUUUUCCCUGUACUUCCAUCAGGGUCUCCUCCCCUCUCCUUGGCUCUGGAUAACAGUAAAUAACUAAGACAGUUUUGUUCCAAGAAUUUCCUUUUGCUGACUCAAGACCAAGCCUAUAUCCUUAUUCUGAUGUCUUGAGGAAUACUUAGAUCUUUUACCGGCAUUCUGCACAAGGUUGAAUUUCAUCCCCUGUGACUAUACAGCUGCAUUUAGGGAGAACUGCUGUUAUUGCAUUAAAUCAGUCAGUUCAUGCUCUCCAGAAAGCUCAUCCCCUUUCAAGGGUUUAAAUCCAAGAGGGAAUUCCACUAAUAUUAAAUAACAUUACAGUAUAGGAAGAAUUAGAAUAUUUCUAUCUAUACCCUAUUUAGGAAUAACAAGCAGUAAAUAUGCUACACUAUGCAAGUCCUAAAUUAAGGAGCUGUAAGAAGAAAAUACAUAAAAUAUAGCCCAUAGUAGUGAAACAAAAUUACUAUUAUAAAAGAAUGAUGACAGACUUGUUUUUAAUUAAAAUAACACCUGUUGGAUUAAGUUUCAAAGAAAUGAUCAAAGAAAAUACUGUAGCACUAAACAAGCCUUAUAGUAAGUGUUCAAUAAAUCAAAACCUUUAAAAAUAUUUCA